rnacentral:rRNA from 1 species
UCCAGACUCCUACGGGAGGCAGCAGUGGGGAAUAUUGCACAAUGGGGGAAACCCUGAUGCAGCGACGCCGCGUGAGUGAAGAAGUAUUUCGGUAUGUAAAGCUCUAUCAGCAGGGAAGAAAAUGACGGUACCUGACUAAGAAGCCCCGGCUAACUACGUGCCAGCAGCCGCGGUAAUACGUAGGGGGCAAGCGUUAUCCGGAUUUACUGGGUGUAAAGGGAGCGUAGGUGGCAUGGUAAGCCAGAAGUGAAAACCCGGGGCUCAACCCCGCGGAUUGCUUUUGGAACUAUCAGGCUGGAGUGCUGGAGGGGUAAGCGGAAUUCCUAGUGUAGCGGUGAAAUGCGUAGAUAUUAGGAGGAACACCGGUGGCGAAGGCGGCUUACUGGACAGAAACUGACACUGAGGCUCGAAAGCGUGGGGAGCAAACAGGAUUAGAUACCCGAGUA